rnacentral:rRNA from 1 species
GGGUCAGUAGGUUGGUCGUGCCACCGGUACGUACUGGUCUCACUGAUUCCUCCUUCCUGAAGAACCGUAAUGUCAUUAAUUUGGUGUUGCGGGGAAACAGGACUGUUACUUUGAAAAAAUUAGAGUGUUUAGAGCAAGCUAACGCUUGAAUACAUUAGCAUGGAAUAAUGAAAUAGGACGAUCGAUCCUAUUUUGUUGGUUUCUAGGAUUGACGUA